rnacentral:lncRNA from 1 species
GAUGGCUACCCUCCCAAGUGUCUAGGUCCCCUUGACCCUGUGGUACUAAUAGCUUGCCAUUCCUCUGUCACCACUGCUUUCUGCUUAGCACACAUCCCCUCUGCCCAUGUGCUAUGCUUGCCUUUUCGCUUGCCAAAGGGAAGUGGUUCCGCCAAAAGCGUGUGUCCCAUCCCCUCUGGCCCCCAGGGUCUCCAGGUGUGGUGUUGCUGCGACAGCCCAGCUACACCCCGUCCUAUGCAGAGCUGUCUU